UAGAGUUUGAUCCUGGCUCAGAUUGAACGCUGGCGGCAGGCCUAACACAUGCAAGUCGAGCGGAAACGACAUUAUUGAAUCUUCGGAGGAUUUAAUGGGCGUCGAGCGGCGGACGGGUGAGUAAUGCCUAGGAAAUUGCCUUGAUGUGGGGGAUAACCAUUGGAAACGAUGGCUAAUACCGCAUAAUGCCUACGGGCCAAAGAGGGGGACCUUCGGGCCUCUCGCGUCAAGAUAUGCCUAGGUGGGAUUAGCUAGUUGGUGAGGUAAUGGCUCACCAAGGCGACGAUCCCUAGCUGGUCUGAGAGGAUGAUCAGCCACACUGGAACUGAGACACGGUCCAGACUCCUACGGGAGGCAGCAGUGGGGAAUAUUGUACAAUGGGCGAAAGCCUGAUGCAGCCAUGCCGCGUGUAUGAAGAAGGCCUUCGGGUUGUAAAGUACUUUCAGUUGUGAGGAAGGGUGUGUAGUUAAUAGCUGCGCAUCUUGACGUUAGCAACAGAAGAAGCACCGGCUAACUCCGUGCCAGCAGCCGCGGUAAUACGGAGGGUGCGAGCGUUAAUCGGAAUUACUGGGCGUAAAGCGCAUGCAGGUGGUUCAUUAAGUCAGAUGUGAAAGCCCGGGGCUCAACCUCGGAACUGCAUUUGAAACUGGUGAACUAGAGUGCUGUAGAGGGGGGUAGAAUUUCA
rnacentral:rRNA from 1 species